GCAAGGUGCCAACUCUCAGAUAUAGAUUUACGUAAGGAUUGCGGAACUUGUGGAAAUGCAUGCUGCGCUUUGCAGUUCAUAGUAGGAGGAAGCAGUGAGCCCAUCUAU